GAGUUGAGUUGAGUUGAGUUUUAUCCUACUUUUAAAAAUAAUAUGGAGAAAAUGGACAAAACACUGUUUUUAUUCUUUUGAUGGGUCACUUGCCCCUCCUUACACCCCAAAUUGGGAUGUAAAAAAUUAGGAGCUUUGGGGCCUAAGGGUGGAGGUCUUACCCUUCCUUACCCUUCAACCUCAAAUUAAAACUCUCUUCCAAACAAGAGUAGGGGGAUACAAUCUCCCACUUACCCUUAACUCUCCCACUUACCCUUAACUCUCCCUCCUUACCCACAAUCGAAACAAGUGUUAGAAAUGGCAAAAGCCACUUGCGACAAGUGCCAAAUUUCAAGGGAUAGCAUAAUUGAGACAAACAACCCUUCACACCAGCUCCAUAAAGAUGUUACACAAACUCUUACCUUAAUUCAAUCCAUAUGCCUGGCUGAACUCCUAAUUCUAUAAAACAAUUUGUAAAGACUGCAUGAGCUUCUCACCAAAGGAAUAGCCCAAUAAUUAACAUUUGGGAAUUCCAACCUGGACUCCGACCACUGAAAU
rnacentral:misc_RNA from 1 species